rnacentral:rRNA from 1 species
UGGGGAAUAUUGCACAAUGGGCGAAAGCCUGAUGCAGCAACGCCGCGUGAGUGAUGAAGGUCUUCGGAUUGUAAAGCUCUGUCUUUUGGGACGAUAAUGACGGUACCAAAGGAGGAAGCCACGGCUAACUACGUGCCAGCAGCCGCGGUAAUACGUAGGUGGCGAGCGUUGUCCGGAUUUACUGGGCGUAAAGGGUGCGUAGGCGGAUGUUUAAGUGAGAUGUGAAAUACCCGGGCUUAACUUGGGUGCUGCAUUUCAAACUGGAUAUCUAGAGUGCAGGAGAGGAGAAUGGAAUUCCUAGUGUAGCGGUGAAAUGCGUAGAGAUUAGGAAGAACACCAGUGGCGAAGGCGAUUCUCUGGACUGUAACUGACGCUGAGGCACGAAAGCGUGGGUAGCAAACAGGAUUAGAUACCCUGGUAGUCCACGCCGUAAAACGAUGAGUACUAGGUGUAGGAGGUAUCGACCCCUUCUGUGCCGCAGUAAAACACAUUAAAGUACUCCGCCUGGGAAGUACGAUCGCAAGAUUAAAAACUCUAAAGUGAAUUGACGGGGUC